rnacentral:rRNA from 1 species
CCUACGGGAUGCUGCAGUGAGGAAUAUUGGUCAAUGGGCGCGAGCCUGAACCAGCCAAGUCGCGUGAGGGAAGACGGCCCUACGGGUUGUAAACCUCUUUUGCCGGGGAGCAACGGGCGCCACGUGUGGCGCCACUGAGAGUACCCGGAGAAAAAGCAUCGGCUAACUCCGUGCCAGCAGCCGCGGUAAUACGGAGGAUGCGAGCGUUAUCCGGAUUUAUUGGGUUUAAAGGGUGCGUAGGCGGCGCGUUAAGUCAGUGUUCAAAUUUAGGGGCUCAACCCCUUCCCGCCAUUGAAACUGGCGUGCUUGAGUGGAAGAGAAGUAUGCGGAAUGCGUGGUGUAGCGGUGAAAUGCAUAGAUAUCACGCAGAACCCCGAUUGCGAAGGCAGCAUGCCGGCUUCCUACUGACGCUGAAGCACGAAAGCGUGGGGAUCGAACAGGAUUAGAUACCCGAGUAGUC